GUCCAGGGUAGCUUAGUGGACAUGGCAUCUGCCCGGUAAGCGGAACAUUCUGGGUUCGAUUCCCAUCACUGGACA
rnacentral:tRNA from 1 species